GAAGCCUCUGGAGCUAAAAGCAGUCGGAGCCGCUACCAAAGCCAAUCUCAUUUGCCAAACCGGGAUAACGUCGACUGCGGCCACCGACUCAUCCUUCGCCUGGCGAUGAGCGGUUGACGCAACCCUUGGCCGGCGGCGGGCGAGCGGGCGAGCGGGCGAGAGAAGAAUCGAAGACUGAUUCCGUCUCCCUUCUUGUCGUGUCUCCUUCUCUCUAACCCUAAGAAGAAGUGUUCCUUCCAGGGGAUUUCGGAUUUCUCUUAUUUUUUUCUACGGUCGGGAGGGUUGAGAUUCGAUAAGGGAUGGCACCGGGGCAAGGAGUGGGUCAGCCGCAGCAGCAGUUUCGCUAUACGCAGACUCCAUCGAAGGUGCUCCACCUACGGAACCUGCCGUGGGAGUGUACGGAAGAGGAGAUCGUCGUCCUCUGCAAGCCAUUUGGAAGGAUUGUCAAUACCAUGUGCAACGUCGGCGCCAACAAGAACCAGGCCUUCGUAGAAUUUGCGGACCUCAACCAAGCAAUUUCAAUGGUUUCGUACUAUGCUUCUUCAUCUGAGCCAGCCCAAGUCCGUGGAAAAACUGUUUAUAUUCAGUAUUCUAAUAGGCAAGAAAUUACAAACAAUAGGAGUACUGGAGAAGUUCCCGGGAAUGUCUUGCUUGUCACUAUUGAAGGUGUUGAAGCUGGUGACGUCAGCAUAGAUGUUAUUCAUCUGGUAUUCUCAGCCUUCGGUUUUGUGCAUAAAAUUGCAACCUUUGAAAAAGCUGCUGGCUUUCAGGCACUAAUUCAAUACACGGAUGCAGAGACUGCUGCUAGUGCAAGAAAUGCAUUGGAUGGGAGAAGUAUUCCGAGGUACUUGCUUCCUGAACAUAUUACAUCUUGCCAUUUGCGUAUUUCAUAUUCGGCUCACACAGAUUUAAGCAUCAAGUUCCAGUCUCACCGUAGCAGGGAUUAUACAAAUCCUUAUCUUCCUGUGAAUCCUUCUGCUAUAGACGGAAGUGUACUGCCUGUGUCAGGACCUGAAGUAAAGAAACAGGAGCCUGAGAGUAACGUACUGUUAGCUACUAUUGAGAACAUGCAAUAUGCUGUGACAGUUGAUGUUCUUCAUACGGUAUUUUCUGCCUUUGGAACUGUGCAAAAAAUUUUAAUUUUUGAGAAAAAUGGUGGCGUACAGGCCUUGAUACAGUAUCCUGAUAUUAUGACUGCUUCAGUUGCCAAGGCUGCUUUGGAGGGACACUGCAUCUAUGAUGGUGGUUUCUGUAAGCUCCAUUUGACAUACUCUCGUCAUAUCGAUCUCAGUGUUAAGGUGCACAAUGAUAGAAGCAGAGAUUACACCGUCCAGGACUCUAGUAUACAAGCAAUGCCCCAAGCUCCCAAUUUGCCAGCAUCCUCUUCUUGGCAAGCAUAUCCACAAUCUUCGUCUACAUAUAUCAGCAAUGAUUAUGCUGUCCCUGGACAAGUAACAAUUUCACAGGGUCAGAUGCCCACAUGGAAUACUGGUACCUCAGGCACAAGUUUGGCCUCACCGUCAAAUCCUGUUUCUUAUUACCCUACUUCAAGCAUCUCUGCGCCUCCUCCUACUUGGCCACUUCAACCUUCAUCAUCUCAAUUUGGUCAACUGGCAAAUGCACAGCCUUCUGCUGCACCACCAACUCAACCUCCGUAUUUUGCUCAAUAAGCUGCUUAUUUGUGCAUUUUUUAGAUGUUUGGCUGCCUCCUGCAAAUUCGAUAAAUGUCUUUUUAUGUCUAUGAGAAAGUUUGAUAGCAUCAAACUAAAUCAUCUUCUCAGAACUAAGCACAUGACUUGCAGAUGUAUCAGGAAUCUGGUGAAGUCGAAUUGACAUAUUUUAUCUCCCCUUCUGAGCUUCCCUGUCUCUGCAUAUUUAAGGUUUGGAACUUCUAUGUUGUCAAAACUUGGUUUGGUAUGUAUCAGUUCGCUAUCAUCUGGAUUUUCUAAUUUGAUCGGGCAAGAAAAAAGUAACCAUGUAAAAGAUAGUGUUACGUUUUCACCUAAUGAGGUUUUUUAAUAAAAUGUUUGGAAGUUGUGCUAAA